rnacentral:rRNA from 1 species
CUGACGAAAGUCUCGACGGAGUAACGCCGCGUGAGUGAUGAAGGUUUUCGGAUCGUAAAACUCUGUUGUUAGGGAAGAACAAGUGCCAUAGUAACUGAUGGCACCUUGACGGUACCUAACCAGAAAGCCACGGCUAACUACGUGCCAGCAGCCGCGGUAAUACGUAGGUGGCAAGCGUUGUCCGGAAUUAUUGGGCGUAAAGCGCGCGCAGGCGGUUCCUUAAGUCUGAUGUGAAAGCCCACGGGUCAACCGUGGAGGGUCAUUGGAAACUGGGGAACUUGAGUGCAGAAGAGGAGAGUGGAAUUCCACGUGUAGCGGUGAAAUGCGUAGAUAUGUGGAGGAACACCAGUGGCGAAGGCGACUCUCUGGUCUGUAACUGACGCUGAGGCGCGAAAGCGUGGGGAGCCAACAGGAUUAGAUACCCUGGUAGUCCACGCCGUAAACGAUGAGUGCUAGGUGUUAGGGGGCUUCCACCCCUUAAGUGCUGAAGUUACCGCAUUAAGCACUCCGUCUGGGGAGUACCGGCGCCAGGCUGAAACUCCAAGGAAUUGGCGGGGGCCCUGACACAUCGGUGGAGCCUGUGGUUUAC